rnacentral:tRNA from 1 species
GCCCCACUGGCGUAAUGGAUAACGCGCCUGACUUCUAAUCAGGAGAUUCGGAGUUCAAGUCUCCGGUGGGGUG